rnacentral:tRNA from 1 species
ACAGUGGUAGUUCACUGGUAGAGUUCUUGCCUUGCAUGCGAGAGAUCCAGGUUCAAUUCCCAGCUAAUGUA